rnacentral:rRNA from 1 species
CAUGUGACGAGUUUGAUCCUGGCUCAGAACGAACGCUGGCGGCAUGCCUAACACAUGCAAGUCGAACGAAGCCUUCGGGCUUAGUGGCGCACGGGUGCGUAACGCGUGGGAAUCUGCCCUGGGGUGCGGAAUAACUCGGAGAAAUCCGUGCUAAUACCGCAUAAUGUCUUCGGACCAAAGAUUUAUUGCCCUGGGAUGAGCCCGCGUAGGAUUAGCUAGUUGGUGAGGUAAAGGCUCACCAAGGCGACGAUCCUUAGCUGGUCUGAGAGGAUGGUCAGCCACACUGGGACUGAGACACGGCCCAGACUCCUGCGGGAGGCAGCAGUGGGGAAUAUUGGACAAUGGGCGAAAGCCUGAUCCAGCAAUGCCGCGUGAGUGAUGAAGGCCUUAGGGUUGUAAAGCUCUUUUACCCGGGAUGAUAAUGACAGUACCGGGAGAAUAAGCUCCGGCUAACUCCGUG